rnacentral:rRNA from 1 species
CAGUAGCCGCGGUAAUACGAAGGGGGCUAGCGUUGUUCGGAAUUACUGGGCGUAAAGCGCACGUAGGCGGAUCGAUCAGUCAGGGGUGAAAUCCCAGGGCUCAACCCUGGAACUGCCUUUGAUACUGUCGAUCUGGAGUAUGGAAGAGGUGAGUGGAAUUCCGAGUGUAGAGGUGAAAUUCGUAGAUAUUCGGAGGAACACCAGUGGCGAAGGCGGCUCACUGGUCCAUUACUGACGCUGAGGUGCGAAAGCGUGGGGAGCAAACAGGAUUAGAGACCCCUGUAGUCCCUGUCUCUUAUAC